GCGCGAUUAGCUCAGCGGAGAGCGCUUCCCUGACACGGAAGAGGUCACUGGUUCAAUCCCAGUAUCGCGCACCA
rnacentral:tRNA from 1 species